GGCCCCGUCGUCUAGCCCGGUCUAGGACACCACCCUUUCACGGUGGGGACAUGGGUUCGAAUCCCAUCGGGGUCA
rnacentral:tRNA from 2 species